GAUGAACGCUGGCGGCGUGCUUAACACAUGCAAGUCGAACGGCAGCGCGCUGCUUUUCUGGGGGGCUCGAGGGGCAAACGGGAGAGUAACACGAGAGUGACCUGACCUUGACUUGGGGAUAAGUUCAGGAAACUGGGACUAAUACCGAAUAGGAGUAGCUGCUGCAGGGGGGGGGUUGGAAAGUUUAGGGGGUCGGGGAUGGGCUCGGGGCGUAUGAGCUAGUAGGUGGGGGAGUGGCUUACCAACUCUUGGGCGGGUAGGGGGCGUGAGAGGGUGACCGGCCACCUUGGGCCUGUGAUACGGCCCGGAGUCCUACGGGAUGCAGCAGUGGGGAAUAUUGUCCGAUGGGCCGAAGCCUGAUGCAGCAACGCCGCGUGCGGGAUGACGGCCUUCGUGUUGUGAACCGGAUUAGCCUGUGACGAAGCGUGAGUGACGGUAAUGUGUGAAGAAGCACCGGCUAACUACGUG
rnacentral:rRNA from 1 species